UCCAUGCCAUUGCACAACUUGGAGUUGUCAGGCAAAGUAGCUGCAUGCCCUUAACCAAUAAUGUAGCAGUCACUGUUGUAAACGUGAAAUGUACCACUUUAAUAGCAACUUGGUUGGUUCCAUGAUAUGAUCGCAGGGGGCUUUGUUCAGUGAAGUCAUCUGCUUUCUAGACAACAAAGCAGGUCCCCAAAAAUUAUGAAUGGCUAUAUUUUCAAACUAGUAUCUGAUUUGCUCCUUUGUUGUGUAUUCCCAUGUUAGCACUGCCGAGAUGACACUGCCGGGAAAGCACUGCCGAGAAUUGGGAGAUGUGCGGAGAUCUAGUGUGCUAAUGCAAUGGAAAGAUUGGACCAGAGCGACUAUAGCAACAGUACCUUCUUCAGGUAACAGUUCACGGACGACGACGACGAGCUCGUUCAGGAGAGGACAGUGAGCAUGUUCAGGGGAGGACGACGAUCUUGUCCAGGGAGCAGAGGAGCUCGCCCUCGCAGCAGCCGACAGCGCAGUGGCGCAGGGAAGAGGUC